UUGGAUGAUGGUGAUGUACAACCUCACCAGAGUACCAAUUGGAGGGCAAGUCUGGUGCCAGCAGCCGCGGUAAUUCCAGCUCCAAUAGCGUAUAUUAAACUUGUUGCAGUUAAAAAGCUCGUAGUUGUAUUUCAGCCUCGCGUUUUUUCCCUCUUUUCGGGUCUUUUCGCUGGCUUUUUUUUUACUUUGAGAAAAUUAGAGUGUUUCAAGCAGACUUUUGUCUUGAAUACUUCAGCAUGGAAUAAUAGAGUAGGACCUUGGUUCUAUUUUGUUGGUUUCGAGCCUUGGUAAUGGUUAAUAGGAACGGUUGGGGGCAUUCGUAUUUAACUGUCAAAGGUGAAAUUCUUAGAUUUGUUAAAGACGAACCACUGCGAAAGCAUUUGCCAAGGACGUUUUCAUUAA
rnacentral:rRNA from 1 species